GGGGACAGCGGACGGGAAUGAAAAGGUCGCUCAAGCCGUGGGCAGGUGGAGAACACGACUUCGGAUUGGUUGGUGGGUGGGCGGAUCACCUCCGUACUGGGCUCAAAGAUCCCUUCUCUACUGUUUUCCAUUCUGCUCUGUGUCCCAGAGGAGCACAGGAGGCUAGGAGGAUGACCUUAAUGGACUGCAUCAAUGGGCCCCCUUGUCUUCUGGCUUGGGGUUCAGUUAUGCCUGUGAUCAGAAGAUUGGAAGGCAGGAGGACAGUGAGUUCAUGGUCUUCAUUUCUCCAUUUUCCUUUCUGAUGGUUGCCAAAGGCUGGCUGAGUUUUUCCACUGAAGAAUGCAGUUCCUGUUGUGUAUCUUCAGGAACUGUUGUCCUUAUAAAAGUCCAGAGCAUGUGAGUGGAGGGCCAAUCAGAGAAUUGCAAUGUGUCUGACCAGAGUGACAGCACCCAGAAGGCGUGUAUUUCUGGAUAAAGGCUCUGCUAUCUUCUCAACCUGUGAGGGAGGAAAACAGGCAUUCAGGAUUUCAGCGGAAAGUUGGAAAUUGGGGUGGACUAGAUGUGUCUUUUCCCAAAUGGAGAUUUCCCAACCAACUGCCAUUUCAUUCCACAUUGCACGUCUUUUUCCAUUGCUUUCUCAGUCAUUUCCCCCCUCCCCUAGCCCGAGUUCCACUUGUAUGCAGCAGCUUUA